rnacentral:rRNA from 1 species
GGGCCCGCACAAGCGGUGGAGCAUGUGGUUUAAUUCGAUGCAACGCGAAAAAACCUUACCAGGCCUUGACAUCCAGAGAACUUACCAGAGAUGGUUCGGUGCCUUCGGGAACUCUGUGACAGGUGUUGCAUGGCUGUCGUCAGCUCGUGUCGUGAGAUGUUGGGUUAAGUCCCGUAACGAGCGCAACCCUUAUCCUUAUUUUGCCAGCACGUAAUGGUGGGAACUUUAAGGAGACUGCCGGUGACAAACCGGAGGAAGGAGAGGAUGAUGUCAAGUCAUCAUGGCCCUUACGGCCUGGGCUACACACGUGCUACAAUGGGAAGUACAACGAGUCGCAAUACCGCGAGGUGGAGCAAA